UACGUAGGUGGCAAGCGUUGUUCGGAAUUAUUGGGCGUAAAGGGCGCGUAGGCGGUUUGCUAAGUCAGUUGUGAAAGCCCGGGGCUCAACCCCGGAGGGUCGGCUGAUACUGGUGGACUAGAGUACGGAAGAGGUAGCUGGAAUUCCCGGUGUAGCGGUGAAAUGCGUAGAUAUGCGGAGGAACACCGAUGGCGAAGGCAAUCCCCUGGGCCUGCACUGACGCUCAUGCACGAAAGCGUGGGGAGCAAACAGG
rnacentral:rRNA from 1 species